UGGGGAAUAUUGCACAAUGGGCGCAAGCCUGAUGCAGCCAUGCCGCGUGUGUGAAGAAGGCCUUCGGGUUGUAAAGCACUUUCAGCGGGGAGGAAGGCGUUAAGGUUAAUAACCUUGGCGAUUGACGUUACCCGCAGAAGAAGCACCGGCUAACUCCGUGCCAGCAGCCGCGGUAAUACGGAGGGUGCAAGCGUUAAUCGGAAUUACUGGGCGUAAAGCGCACGCAGGCGGUUGAUUGAGUCAGAUGUGAAAUCCCCGGGCUUAACCCGGGAAUUGCAUCUGAUACUGGUCAGCUAGAGUCUUGUAGAGGGGGGUAGAAUUCCAUGUGUAGCGGUGAAAUGCGUAGUGAUGUGGAGGAAUACCGGUGGCGAAGGCGGCCCCCUGGACAAAGACUGACGCUCAGGUGCGAAAGCGUGGGGAGCAAACAGG
rnacentral:rRNA from 1 species